rnacentral:rRNA from 1 species
UGGGGAAUUUUGGACAAUGGGCGAAAGCCUGAUCCAGCAAUGCCGCGUGUGUGAAGAAGGCCUUCGGGUUGUAAAGCACUUUUGUCCGGAAAGAAAUCCUUGGCUCUAAUACAGUCGGGGGUAGUACGGUACCGGAAGAAUAAGCACCGGCUAACUACGUGCCAGCAGCCGCGGUAAUACGUAGGGUGCAAGCGUUAAUCGGAAUUACUGGGCGUAAAGCGUGCGCAGGCGGUUUGCUAAGACCGAUGUGAAAUCCCCGGGCUCAACCUGGGAACUGCAUUGGUGACUGGCAGGCUAGAGUAUGGCAGAGGGGGGUAGAAUUCCACGUGUAGCAGUGAAAUGCGUAGAGAUGUGGAGGAAUACCGAUGGCGAAGGCAGCCCCCUGGCCAAUACUGACGCUCAUGCACGAAAGCGUGGGGAGCAAACAGGAUUAGAUACCCUGGUAGUCCACGCCCUAAAACGAUGUCAACUAGUUGUUGGGGAUUCAUUUCCUUAGUAACGUAGCUAACGCGUGAAGUUGACCGCCUGGGGAGUACGGUCGCAAGAUUAAAACUUAAAUGAAUUGACGGGGUCAUAGCUGUUUCCU